UACGAAGGGGACUAGCGUUGUUCGGAAUCACUGGGCGUAAAGCGCACGUAGGCGGAUGUGUCAGUCAGGGGUGAAAUCCCAGGGCUCAACCUCGGAACUGCCUUUGAUACAGCACGUCUCGAGUCCGGAAGAGGUGGGUGGAAUUCCUAGUGUAGAGGUGAAAUUCGUAGAUAUUAGGAAGAACACCGGUGGCGAAGGCGGCCCACUGGUCCGGUACUGACGCUGAGGUGCGAAAGCGUGGGGAGCAAACAGG
rnacentral:rRNA from 1 species